rnacentral:rRNA from 1 species
GGGUUGCGGACAGUGUCUGGUGGGUAGUUUGACUGGGGCGGUCUCCUCCUAAAGAGUAACGGAGGAGCACGAAGGUUGGCUAAUCCUGGUCGGACAUCAGGAGGUUAGUGCAAUGGCAUAAGCCAGCUUGACUGCGAGCGUGACGGCGCGAGCAGGUGCGAAAGCAGGUCAUAGUGAUCCGGUGGUUCUGAAUGGAAGGGCCAUCGCUCAACGGAUAAAAGGUACUCCGGGGAUAACAGGCUGAUACCGCCCAAGAGUUCAUAUCGACGGCGGUGUUUGGCACCUCGAUGUCGGCUCAUCACAUCCUGGGGCUGAAGUAGGUCCCAAGGGUAUGGCUGUUCGCCAUUUAAAGUGGUACGCGAGCUGGGUUUAGAACGUCGUGAGACAGUUCGGUCCCUAUCUGCCGUGGGCGCUGGAGAACUGAGGGGGGCUGCUCCUAGUACGAGAGGACCGGAGUGGACGCAUCACUGGUGUUCGGGUUGUCAUGCCAAUGGCAUUGCCCGGUAGCUAAAUGCGGAAGAGAUAAGUGCUGAAAGCAUCUAAGCACGAAACUUGCCCCGAGAUGAGUUCUCCCUGACUCCUUGAGAGUCCUGAAGGAACGUUGAAGACGACGACGUUGAUAGGCCGGGUGUGUAAGCGCAGCGAUGCGUUGAGCUAACCGGUACUAAUGAACCGUGAGGCUUAACCUUACAACGCCGAAG